CCACUAUUCAUCCCCCCACUUCAUUACUCCGUUACCCCACUAUUCAUCCUCCCACUCUGUUACUGUUACCCCACUAUUCAUCCUCCCACUCCGUUACUUUGUUACCCUUCUAUUCAUCCCCCACUCUGUUACUGUUACCCCACUAUUCAUCCCCCACUCUGUUACUCUGUUACCCUACUAUUCAUCCUCCCACUCCAUUACUCCGUUACCCCACUAUUCAUCCCUCCACUCCGUUACUCUGUUACCCUUCUAUUCAUCCCCCACUCUGUUACUGUUACCCCACUAUUCAUCCUCCCACUCCGUUACUCGGUUACCCCUCUAUUCAUCCCCCCCACUCCGUUACCCCUCUAUUCGUCCACCUCUCUGCCACCUUUCUAUUCACCCUUUCUUCAUUGGUCUCCCCAUUCUCCUUCUCUCUACCCAAAAGAAUCCACAAAAACAUAUGUUUUUGUGGAUUCAUUUCUAUAUCUCUAAGCUCCUCCCCUGCACCUCCCCCUGUCAGCCCCGCUUUAACCAGAUUACAGAGGAUUCUCUGCUAUUAACAUGCUGUUGGGGCUGUGGCCUGGCAGUGUAUUGUGGUGUCCAGCUGAGCCACACACACCAAACAGAGGGUACAGUAUGAGAGAGAGAGAACUACCUCGCCACUGAUCUGGGUGUGGGGUGAGGGAAACAGGCAGCGAUGUGAUUGGACAAAGGCACAGCCGCACAUCCUUCUAUAGCCUCCAUCUUCUAGCCUUAGCCUAUCGAUACUCCUCUCUACUUCAACCCAGCCCUCUGUCUCAGCCCUGCCUCAACCCAGCCCCGCCUCAUCCCAGCCCUCUGUCCCAGCCCAGCCCUCUGUCCCAGCCCCGCCUCAACCCAGCCCCACCUCAACCCAGCCCCGCCUCAACCCAGCCCCACCUCAACCCAGCCCCGCCUCAACCCAGCCCUCUCUCCCAGCCCCGCCUCAACCCAGCCCUCUGUCCCAGCCCCGCCUCAACACAACCCUCUGUCCCAGCCCCGCCUCAACCCAGCCCUGCCUCAACACAACCCUCUCUCCCAGCGCUGCCUCAACCCAGCCCUCUGUCCCAGCCCUGCCUCAACACAACCCUCUGUCCCAGCCCCGCCUCAACCCAGCCCUCUGUCCCAGCCCCGCCUCAACCCAGCCCUCUGUCCCAGCCCCGCCUCAACCCAGCCCUCUGUCCCAGCCCCGCCUCAACCCAGCCCUCUGUCCCAGCCCCGCCUCAACCCAGCCCUCUGUCCCAGCCCCGCCUCAACCCAGCCCUCUGUCCCAGCCCCGCCUCAACCCAACCCUCUGUCCCAGCCCCGCCUCAACCCAACCCUCUGUCCCAGCCCCGCCUCAACCCAACCCUCUGUCCCAGCCCCGCCUCAACCCAGCCCUCUGUCCCAGCCCUGCCUCAACACAACCCUCUGACCCAGCCUCUAUUCUACUUCAGCCCUCCUCCAGUACUCCCUGGAUCCUGAGUGAGCCUCCACUCCCCCCUGCUCCCCAUGGCAGAUAUCAUGGACCCAGAGGAUACAAUUAUCAUGGACCCUGAGGAUACAAUUGUAAUGGAACCUGAGGAUAGAAUCGGUACAGAACUGGAGGAUAGAAUUCUAAUGGAACCCGAGGAUAGAAUCGGAACAGAACUGGAGGAUAGAAUUCUAAUGGAACCUGAGGAUAGAAUCGGAACAGAACUGGAGGAUAGAAUUCUAAUGGAACCUGAGGAUAGAAUCGGAACAGAACUGGAGGAUAGAAUCGGAACAGAACUGGAGGAUAGAAUUCUAAUGGAACCUGAGGAUAGAAUCGGAACAGAACUGGAGGAUAGAAUCGGAACAGAACUGGAGGAUAGUGUUAAUUUAUCCAGAAGGUUCUGAUGCUGAGGAGCCAGAUGGGAUUCCUAUUGAGCCAGAGGAGCAACAAGAGGGAGAUGAUGAUGAGGAGGAGGAUGAUAACAUCUUUGCCACAUGGAUGGGCUGCUACAAGAAAGCAGCAGAACAGGAGGACAAGGAUAAAGAGGUGGAGAAAAGAGAUGCAGUGAUAGAGGAGAGGAAGAACAGCUUCGAACGACAAGCUCCACCAUGAGCAGACCGGCGGCAAUCACUACCCUGUCUAGUGAGUCUGUGUACAUGCUCAACUCACAGCGAUGAUGCAGUUGUCUCGUCUCCACACCACCGCUAGGGCCACGUCACCCGCCAGGCAAAACUCCCGGCAAUGCAUCUCGUCCACUGACGAUCCUGGCUGCCCGAUACCAGCCAUCCACCGUUCCAGAUUCAAAUGCAGACGUGGCUCCGCAGGCAGAACGUCAUGUCUCCGGGGAGCUUGCUGUGUGUGUGAUGGCCAGAGCGACGCCGAUCAUGUGUGUGUCUCAUCUGCCAUGAUGACCUGCACAGAGGAGGGAGUGGAAUCAGGGAGCUGCACUGCUCUCAUAUCUUCCACAGCCAAUGUGUAUAUAAGAGUGGCUGUGGAGGAGGCAGGUGUGUUGUGUGCAGGUGGUGCUCUUGCCAGAACCACUCUACUCGGGUCAAAGUACCCUGAGAACCACGUCGAACAGCCUAGAACUGGACCCAACCUCUCACAACUGCAUAUAGCUGGAAAGAACUGCCUGGACAGAACUACACAGAACCGGGAAGAACUACACAGAACUGAUGAGAACCGGUGAAGAACUGCAGAAUAACACUCAGAACUGCCUAGCGUUGUAAUGAACCGUGCAGAACUGCUUAGAUACGGACGGAACUUAUCCCUUAAAUCUCUGUAUCUAGAGUGCUGUGCUGAGAGAGAGGGAACGAGAGAGAGAGCUCUCUUCUCUGUAUUCCCCCAAAUCCCAAUAAUCCAGUAUCUUUUAAAAUUGUUUGUGUGAUAGUGUAUGAGUGAAAUGUAUGGAUGUUUUACUUAUAAUUAUCAAUUCAACAUGUUUAUUUCAAGAUUUUGUUUGUUUAGUCGGUAAGGGCAUUUACAUUUUUACAUUGUAUCCCAUCUACGUCUUUGUUUUCUCCUAGUCAUUGAAUAAAAUACUUUGGUUGUUCUAAUUGUAAAAUGUA